rnacentral:rRNA from 1 species
AACGAACGCUGACGGCGUGGUUCAGGCAUGCAAGUCGAACGGUUUAGAUUUAUCUAAAUAGUGGCAAACGGAUGAGUAACACGUAGAUUGCCUACCCUAAACUUGAGGACAACACUGUGAAAACGGUGCUAAUACUGAAUGUGAUCUCCGGAUUAAAGGUGGCCUCUUCUUGAAAGCUGCCGGUUUGGGAUGGGUCUGCGCCCUAUUAGCUUGUUGGUGAGGUAAAAGCUCACCAAGGCAACGAUGGGUACCCGGGCUGAGAGGCUGGUCGGGCAUAUUGGAACUGAGAUACUGUCCAA